UACGUAGGGACCGAGCGUUGUCCGGAUUCAUUGGGCGUAAAGAGCUCGUAGGCGGCUGCUCAAGUCGAAUGUGAAAACUCGAGGCUCAACCUCGAGCCUGCAUUCGAUACUGGGCGGCUAGAGUCUGGUAGGGGGAGUCUGGAAUUCCUGGUGUAGCGGUGGAAUGCGCAGAUAUCAGGAGGAACACCGGUGGCGAAGGCGGGAUCCUGGGCCAGUACUGACGCUGAGGAGCGAAAAGCGUGGGGAGCAAACAGG
rnacentral:rRNA from 1 species